CCUACGGGUGGCAGCAGUGAGGAAUAUUGGUCAAUGGCCGGAAGGCUGAACCAGCCAUGCCGCGUGAAGGUCAGUGCCCUAUGGGCGUUAAACUUCUUUUGUGCGGGAGCAAUAAUGGUCACGUGUGUCCAGACGAGAGUACCGUACGAAUAAGCAUCGGCUAACUCCGUGCCAGCAGCCGCGGUAAUAAGGGGGAUGCAAGCGUUAUCCGGAUUUACUGGGUGAAAAGGGAUGGUAGACGGCUUGCCAAGUGCGAUGUGAAAGGCCGGGGCUCAACCCCGGGACUGCAUUGGAACCUGGCAUGCUGGAGUGCCGGAGAGGCAAGCGGAAUUCCUAGUGUAGCGGUGAAAUGCGUAGAUAUUAGGAGGAACACCGGUGGCGAAGGCGGCUUGCUGGACGGUAACUGACGUUGAGGCGCGAAAGCGUGGGGAGCAAACAGGAUUAGAUACCCGAGUAGUC
rnacentral:rRNA from 1 species